GUCUGCAAAUGGUGUCUCAGAUGAACUAAAGAGUGAGAGCAUUAUGCAGUUAUCAUGGGCUCUUGUUCAUUCCAAACAACCAAAAGAUGUGCAGUGUGGGAUAGCUAUGCUUGAAGCCUCAUUAGCCAAUAGUGGCAGCCCAUUGCAAAAUGAGGGAAAAGCUUUAUCUUCUUGCUUUUGGGUAUUACAGAAGUAGUGAAUAUCGAAGGAGCAGGCAGCUUGCAGAACAAUGUUGGUUCAAAAUAUGAGUAAAGAAGAGUUCUUGAAGAUCCAGGUACUCUUUAAUAAAUGAUAUAUAUACUUAUAUACAUAUAUGUAUAUAUAUAGGCAUUUCCACACUAUUAUGUUGUUUUCUUGAAAUGCUUUGCUUGUUUUGAACUAAAGAUUUGAAAUACUCUUUACCUGUCAUGUUUCUUUUUCUUUUUUCUUUUUUUCUUUACAAUACAUUUGCAAUUGGUUUUGUUGGGAGUUGGGACAAACCAGCAAAAUCAUCAACUUGUUAGUUUGUUACACCCAAAAUACACACAAGAAAUGCAAGAAAUCAGUACAGUUGCUUCCUUGUAGUGGAUAAGGUUAAAAUACCUGCGCUGUUGCUGGGUAAUUUCUUUCUCUAUUUAUCUUUAUCUUUAUCUUUUUUCCUUUUUUUUGGGAGGUAAAUAUUGUAUUCUAAUCCUUGUAAGUUGAAUGUCAGAGAUACAUUUCUUUGUAAUUUGUUGCAUUUGACUCAAGUGGCUCUCGCUCUCUGAGGUAUCUGUGUGUAUGAUUCUUGUAUAUCAUUGGGAGAUACUUUGUGUAAUAUGAGAGGAUAUGUUGGUGUCUAGAAAGUUCAAUUUUCAAUUAUUUGUAUAAGACUGCAGAGAGAGUUGCAUUCAAGAGUACCAUCAUGGGAGGAAGUUAUGAAUAUAAAAUCCAAAUGGCUUUGGAAAUGGCUGCCUUUUUUUUUUUUUUUUUUUUUUUGUUGUUGAGAACAUUGGAUAUGGUUGUUGAUUAUGAGAUUAAUGACUCUUUUGUUUUCAAGUUGUAGAUUAGAAAAAGAAAACAUCAUUUAUUCAUGAAAUAUAAUACUUGAGAGUCGAAACUAGCUGAUUAGAUGAAAAAUUAGCACAAUUUCAAAAAAAAAA